CCGCCAGAAAUAUUUUUAUUGAAGGGAGGGGGGGGGAAAAAAGAGUAUAAGGAGAAAGAAGAAAAAAAAAAGAAAUAAUUUACCGCAGCCAUCUUUGUUUUAUGCCGAAAUCUUCCUCUUUUGGGCCCCCCCCCCCUCCAAAACGCCGGGAAUACACAAAUAUUGUUCAUUUCGGCAUCUGAGGGGGAUUAGAAAGAGAGAGCAAAUCGACCCUCAAAGCAAAAAACCCCCCCUUCAAAAACAAACCCCCCCCCCCAAAAAAAAAAAUGAGCGGAAUUGGGAUUAUCGCUCCGCUCGGGCUUUAGCGGCGACGCAAAAAAGGGGGGGAAAAAGGCGUUUUCUCCUGGUUUUGGACUCUUCGCCUUCUAAAGCCCCGCCAUGGCUUCCCCUCUGAGGGAGGACGAGGAAGAGGAGGAGGAGAUGGUGGUGUCGGAGGGGGACGAAGACGACGAGGAAGAGGAGGAGGAAGAAGAAGACGACGAAGAUGAAGACGCC